CCUUCUCAAGAGGAAGUAUAGAUGGUUAGAGAGGAGAGGUGGGUGGGUGGGGGGAUGGACAGGCUACAAGUCACUAGAGUUUAGAUACAGUUAGUGAUCGACACGUUGAGAUGGAACGCACCUGUCUUCUACUCUUGCUGUUGAGUACACUGGUAUACUGUAGCCUCGGACAAGGUGGAGAUCUCUCUCCUCCAGCCUCUCUGAGCGUCAGUCCUGACAGAUCUCAGU